GGGAAGUCUGAUAAAGUUAUUUGGGUAAGGAAUGCAUGGGAAAUUAAAUUCAUGUGUUUGUGUGUUUAUUUAGUACUGGCGCUCCAGGAGAGCAAGAGUUUCUUCUCCUACACAUCCUGAUGAACAAAAGUUAAAGAGCAUGAAAACAGCUCUUAGGCCAUGUCCCAAAUGGCACCCUCAGCCCUCGCGGUCCUCCUCCGUGGUCCAGUCCCAUAUGGAACCCUCAGCUCUCCUCCGUAUCUAUACUUUGCCACGUGGGUUGUUAGAAAGCACAAUAACAGCCUACUGUUGCAGUUACGCUCACCCACCACAGACACAGGAUGUGUGAGCAGGUCUCAGGGCAUCCAGCUGUAGGAACGCCAACUUGCAUUCAGCAAUACUGUAACCUUGUGACCUCCAUCGAUUAGCAGGAAUCAUCGGUGGUGGUCUGUCCUAAAUAUUUCCUGAGCAAACGAAUACCAUUUUUUCAUUCCGUCUGCGGCAGUAUGAAGCAGGCAGCCACUUUCUUGGCCUCUAUUCCUAGACCAGCCCCUCAGGCUUUCUGUGGUGGCUGUCUGCCUUUAUUCAGCUGACAUCAUAUGUCAUCAAAACAGAAUGUACAUUUUUCCAAAGCUUGGUGGGAAAUAUGGUAACUGAUGAAAUCAUUGUAGACUUUAUCACGUUGGGAACAGUCAACGUUCUCUCUCUCUCUUAAAAAUAAAAAAAAAUAAAAAAAAAUAAUAAUUGUAGGC
ensembl:lncRNA